GGACUCCAGGCAUGGCUCAAGCAGCAAGAGUGCCUGCCUACCAAGGACAAGGUCCUAAAUUCAAAGAAAACAUUUUAUACUAUAGUUAAAUUCUAAUUAUUUUAAGCACCAGCAAAUAAUUCUCUGUAUCUACUCUACUUUUAUUAAGCGUCAGCCAUGGUCAUUGCCAUUGUGUCUUUUCCCAUAUGCAAUCAUUCACCAAACCCAGCCCUUCCCUACACCUGACAGCCCACCUCCCCCCUGCUGGCCCAAGCUGCCUUGGCUUCCUUUGACUGCCUGUCCACCAGCCUCACCACCUCCUUCCAGCCUUGCCAUGCAGGUCAUCUGUUAUGGCUUCAUUUCAACUGUAUUUCUAAUAACCCUGUAGCAACUCCCUAUGCAUUUUCAUGGAAACUCAGACUUUGGGCAGUGGCUUCCCAGCACUUCCUCAGCAAGAUCCACCCAACUCUUCCUGUCUGCUCUUGUCUCCCCUUCUGACCUCACCCACACCUUCAGUACUUUCCUAGCUGCCCCUCCCAGGAGGCUAGCUGCAUUACAUGUGAAAUUCUGUCCUUCUUUCUUAUGUAGCAUGGUUAUAUAGUAGUCAUUUUAGCUAUUCAUUCUUUAUUUCAACAAAUAGGAUCAAGGACACCCUGUGAGUUGGCCACUGUGCUAGCUCCUAUGGAUGAACAAAAUCAGUAGUAUAUGGGCCCUGCUCUCAAGGAGCUUGCAGUUUGGUAGGGAACAGGCCUGCAAUCAAAUAAUCACAAUGCAAUGUAUUAGGGGUUACAGGAGCUAUGUAAGCAGAACAUUGGAGUGCACAUAGGAAGUAGCAGCAAAGAAUCCAGAAAGACUUCACAGAGGAAGUAGCAUUUGAAUUGAUUAGAAAGACAUUACAUUGUGAAUGUUCUCCACUUGAAGAAAGGAGUAAGGGCUUUGUUAGCAGAAGUAACCUGGGAAAAUAAUUGCAAGCAUAUAUUGGUCUUUCAGAUGUAUGCACACUUACAUAGAUACAUUUAGUGUGGCUGGAGCCUAGAACAGGUAGUAAAACAUUUUGGAAAGGGAGGCUGGAAGGACAGGAACUGAAACAAGGUUCUCUAAGCAACAAGGAUCCAGUAGAAAUCUUUAAAAGAGAAAGUAAAUUGAUCACUUUAGGUACUGAUGAAUUGAUAGCUCCACUGAAGUUGGUAGUCUGAAUGUAGAAUUGUGAAGGAAUUUACAAUGAUCCAGUGAAAGAUGAGACUUUAAAUCAGAGUGUCUAUAAAGUUACAUAUAGAGGUAGCACAACCUGAAAUAGCAGGUAUCUACAGAGUGUCUCAGACAGAGACUAAUCUGGAGAAUGUUACCAAAACCAGAACUAGGUAUUCAAAACGAUGCAGUGGCUCAUGCCAAUAAUCCUAACUACUCAGGAGGCUGAGCUAUGAAAUCUGAAGUUUGAAGCCAGCCCAGACAGUAAAGUCCAAGUGACUCUUAUCUCCAGUUAACCAGCAAAAAGGCUGAAAAUAGAAGUGUGACUCAGGUAGUAAAGUACCAGCCUUGAGCA